AAAGCUUUAAGUUAUAAAACUAUUAACCUUCAAAGUUAAAAAUAUGAGAUAUCAUAAGCUUUA
rnacentral:tRNA from 1 species